UACGUAGGUGGCAAGCGUUGUCCGGAAUUAUUGGGCGUAAAGCGCGCGCAGGCGGUCCUUUAAGUCUGAUGUGAAAUCCCACGGCUCAACCGUGGAAGGUCAUUGGAAACUGGGGGACUUGAGUACAGAAGAGGAAAGUGGAAUUCCGAGUGUAGCGGUGAAAUGCGUAGAGAUUUGGAGGAACACCAGUGGCGAAGGCGACUUUCUGGUCUGUAACUGACGCUGAGGCGCGAAAGCGUGGGGAGCAAACAGG
rnacentral:rRNA from 1 species